rnacentral:rRNA from 1 species
GACGAACGCUGGCGGCGUGCUUAACACAUGCAAGUCGAACGGAAAGGCCCUGCUUUUGUGGGUUGCUCGAGUGGCGAACGGGUGAGUAACACGUGAGUAACCUGCCCUUGACUUUGGGAUAACUUCAGGAAACUGGGGCUAAUACCGGAUAGGAGCUCCUGCUGCGUGGUGGGGGUUGGAAAGUUUCGGCGGUUGGGGAUGGACUGGCGGCUUAUCAGCUUGUUGGUGGGGUAGUGGUUUACCAAGGCUUUGACGGGUAGCCGGCCUGAGAGGGUGACCGGGCACCUUGGGACUGCGAUACGGACCAGACUGCUACGGGAGGCAGCGGGCGGGAAUAUUGCACAGUGGGCGGAAGCGUGUGGCAGCGGCGCCGCGUGCGGGAUGCCGGCUUUCGGGUUGUAAACAGCUGUCGCCUGUGACGAAGCGUGAGUGACGGUAAUGGGUAAAGAAGCACCGGCUAACUACGUG